UUCUCCGUGUGACUGAGACGUGGCUGACUGUUGCUUUCCUCCCCAGUCUUUCCAGUCCCACCUAGAAUGCCGCUGCCUACUGACAGAUGGAUGCAUGGAGGAACAGGAACACCCCUCAUCUGUUCUCUCUGCUGCUGCAGUAAAUAAGACUGUCCCCCUGAGGAGGCAAUGCUUACACGCUGACAGAAAUAUUCUGAACCUCCUGUGACCCCAGCAACAAGAACAAACACCCUGGACCCUUGUAAGCUACUUGGUGUUCAGCCAAAAGAGUCCCCGGGGGUACAAACACCAACUUAAAGGUUCCAGGAGAGACCAAGUGAUAGGAUAGGAAGAGGGGGGGUUUUGGUAGAUGGUGUAUAUAUGUAUAUUAAUUGUAUGCUGCUUAUAUUGUCGGUGGUGAUUAGCCAUGAGAUAAUAUAUUGUUAAAAAACCUGUUAAUGGGAGCAUCCAAUCAAGGGGACCAGUGAUAUGGUAUAAAAGGCGCCAGUUUCCAUCUGUCCUUGUUGCUGGUCAGGUCUCCCAUCUGUUAAUGCUGCCAUGCCUGU